rnacentral:rRNA from 1 species
CAUCGCCGGGGAGGUUUGGCGCCUCGAUGUCGGCUCAUCGCAUCCUGGGGCUGUAGUCGGUCCCAAGGGUUGAGCUGUUCGCCCAUUAAAGCGGUACGCGAGCUGGGUUCAGAACGUCGUGAGACAGUUCGGUCCCUAUCCGUCGUGGGCGUAGGAAAUUUGAGAGGAGCUGUCCAUAGUACGAGAGGACCGGGAUGGACAUACCUCUGGUGUACCAGUUGUCGUGCCAACGGCAUAGCUGGGUAGCUAUGUGUGGACGGGAUAAGUGCUGAAAGCAUCUAAGCAUGAAGCCUCCCUCAAGAUGAGAUUUCCCAACUUCGGUUAUAAGAUCCCUCAAAGAUGAUGAGGUUAAUGGGUUCGAGGUGGAAGCAUGGUGACAUGUGGAGCUGACG